GGCCAGACUCCUACGGGAGGCAGCAGUGGGGAAUAUUGCACAAUGGGGGGAACCCUGAUGCAGCGACGCCGCGUGAGGGAAGAAGGUUUUCGGAUUGUAAACCUCUGUCCUCUGUGACGAUAAUGACGGUAGCAGAGGAGGAAGCCACGGCUAACUACGUGCCAGCAGCCGCGGUAAUACGUAGGGAGCGAGCGUUGUCCGGAUUUACUGGGUGUAAAGGGUGCGUAGGCGGCCCUGCAAGUCAGAAGUGAAAUCCAUGGGCUUAACCCGUGAACUGCUUUUGAAACUGCAGGACUUGAGUGGAGUAGAGGUAGGCGGAAUUCCCGGUGUAGCGGUGAAAUGCGUAGAGAUCGGGAGGAACACCGGUGGCGAAGGCGGCCUGCUGGACUGCGACUGACGUUGAGGCCCGAAAGCGUGGGGAGCAAACAGGAUUAGAUACCCCUGUACG
rnacentral:rRNA from 1 species